rnacentral:tRNA from 1 species
AACAAAUUAGUAUAGGUCUUCUAAACUUAUCUAGGAAAAAUUUUCCAUUUGUUU